rnacentral:rRNA from 1 species
CAGCAGCCGCGGUAAUGCGAAGGGUGCAAGCGUUAAUCGGAAUUACUGGGCGUAAAGCGUGCGUAGGCGGUGAGUUAAGUCUGCUGUGAAAUCCCCGGGCUCAACCUGGGAAUGGCAGUGGAUACUGGCUCGCUAGAGUGUGUCAGAGGAUGGUGGAAUUCCCGGUGUAGCGGUGAAAUGCGUAGAGAUCGGGAGGAACAUCAGUGGCGAAGGCGGCCAUCUGGGACAACACUGACGCUGAGGCACGAAAGCGUGGGGAGCAAACAGGAUUAGAGACCCCGGUAGUCCCUGUCUCUUAUAC